UACAGAGGGGGCGAGCGUUGUUCGGAAUUACUGGGCGUAAAGGGCGCGUAGGCGGCCCGCUAAGUCGAACGUGAAAUCCCCGGGCUCAACCCGGGAACUGCGUCCGAUACUGGCAGGCUUGAAUCCGGGAGAGGGAUGUGGAAUUCCAGGUGUAGCGGUGAAAUGCGUAGAUAUCUGGAGGAAUACCGGUGGCGAAGGCGGCAUCCUGGACCGGUAUUGACGCUGAGGCGCGAAAGCGUGGGUAGCAAACAGG
rnacentral:rRNA from 1 species